rnacentral:rRNA from 1 species
GACGAACGCUGGCGGCGUGCUUAACACAUGCAAGUCGAACGGUAAGGCCCUUCGGGGUACACGAGUGGCGAACGGGUGAGUAACACGUGGGUGAUCUGCCCUGCACUUCGGGAUAAGCCUGGGAAACUGGGUCUAAUACCGGAUAGGACCACUGCCUGCAUGGGUGGUGGUGGAAAGCUUUUGCGGUGUGGGAUGGGCCCGCGGCCUAUCAGCUUGUUGGGGGGGUGAUGGCCUACCAAGGCGACGACGGGUAGCCGGCCUGAGAGGGUGACCGGCCACACGGGGACUGAGAUACGGCCCAGACUCCUACGGGAGGCAGCAGUGGGGAAUAUUGCACAAUGGGCGCAAGCCUGAUGCAGCGACGCCGCGUGAGGGAUGACGGCCUUCGGGUUGUAAACCUCUUUCAGCACCGACGAAGCGCAAGUGACGGUAGGUGCAGAAGAAGGACCGGCCAACUACGUGCCAGCCGCCGCGGUAA